AGGACCAUAGUUCUCUGUUACUGAAUCACUGUAGUUGAAUAAUACUUCAUGUUCUGUGUUUAUUUAUGUUUUUAUAGCAAGAACAGUAUGAAAGUACUAUUGGAUUCAAACUUCCCAGUUACCGAGCAGCUAAGAAAUUAUGGAAAGUCUGUGUAGAGCACCACACAUUUUUCAGGCUGACUUCUACAGACACUCUUCCCAAAAGCAAAUUUCUUGCCCUGGGAUCCAAAUUUAGAUACAGCGGCCGGACUCAAGCUCAGACCAGGCAAGCUAGUGCUCUAAUUGACAGGCCUGCCCCACACUUUGAACGGACAGCAAGCAAACGGGCAUCCCGGAGCCUUGAUGGAGCAGCAGCUGCUGAUUCAGCAGACCGAAGUCCCCGGCCCACCUCUGCACCAGCCAUUGCUCAGAGUCAGGUCACAGAAGGCAUCGUGCCAGGGGCAUCUGUCAAAAAAACACAGAAGGAAACAGGGAAGACUGAAGUAAAAGGGGAAGAAGAGCCACCUGAGCAAGCUGAGCCAGAGCCGACAGAAGCAUGGAAGAAAAAGAGAGAGAGACUAGAUGGUGAAAACAUAUAUAUCAGACAUAGCAAUUUAAUGUUGGAGGUUUGUAUGAACUUGAAGCUUAUUUUAGUGGUUGCCUGGAACCUUCUGCAUUCUUUGCUGAUCCCCUUUUCUUCAUUCUAUGCUGCACUUGGUUUUGCAUGCCUUUGCAUGAAAGAAUUUUAGGUUUAAAAUGCCUUUGCAUGUUGGUAAACAUGAAGAUGCACAACCAUUUCUUCUUCUGAUUCUUUUUAGUUUCCAUUUCUCAUGCUAUCUUUAAAAAAUAUA